CGAAAACUCACGACUACUUCAUUUUGCAGUGGAUGACACUCGAUUUUUACAACAGCGGAGACCAUGAACAUCUUCAUUAUUUUCAUCAACAAUAAAUUAUAGAAGGAAAAAAAUAAUAAUUUAAAAAGAUUACCAAAAGCCGGCAGCCUAACUGCACAGCAUGGGUGCUCCAAAUACCAAAGUAUCUAUAUGUGAAUAUGUCUAUGUGUAUUCUAAACCUCUUCAUUACAAAAUGAAUAGAAAUUCAAGGAGAAUCCUUGAAAAGAAAAGACUCAGAAAUACUUUGGAAUCAGAAGCAAACAAAUCAAUAAAUUUUGAUAGUGAUGUCAUAUUCAAUGUGUUGUCUCAAGGUGGACAUUUUACAAUAUCCACAUACAUUGAACUAGAUGUAUUUGCUGAUUCCCACCUUGUUUCAAUUCAGUUCCAACCAAUCAUGACAAAACUUAUAGGAAACCACAUUAAUAGCCACAAUGGUCUGGAAAUUAGGAAUAUUCUGGAAACUUCAAUAGCAAAAACUAGAACUAUUAGGAAAUUUGUUUGGAACUCUGUUAAACAUCAUAAGUUAAUUAGUGACGUAAUAAAAUGCAUUGUUGAUAGGCACAACUUAAUGUUGUCAACACAUCAUUAAACUUAAGUUGAAAUUCUGAUUGUAAAGUGUUUCAUUGUUUCCCUAACUUAAUGCUUUUGCUGUAGAAUUUCCACUUUGGACCAAUUGUACAACCCCCAAAAUGAGUGCCAAAGAUCAAAGCAAAAUCUAAAAAGGUAAUAUUGUUAAAUUUGUAACAUUAGAAAUGUAAACUUUAAAAUAAAGUUUUAUAAUUUCAAGCAGAUGAAGCCAUAUGGGAACAACCUUUAAUGACAACAUUCAACAUGGUAAUGUUAAAAAACUCCACAAUAUCCAGAGACUAGAAAGUAGAUAAUUGGUAAUCAACAAGAGUGGUAACCUCAUUUGUGGCUACCCUAUAAAUUGCCACAAAACUGCAUAACAAAUAUGCUUAUAGUCGUCCAAAACUUGAUCUAAUAAAAAAAUACACAAUCAUAUUUUUUAUUGCGGAAACACCUAAUCUAUCAAGUCCAUCCUAAGACAUAUCAAAGCCUUCUUAGAGAAAUAUAAAUAGAAUAGAGGGUAAUAAGGUCACAAACUUGUUUAUCCCUUUUAGGGCCUGUGAGAUAAGCCUCUAGAAUUUUGUUUGCCGGUUAGAUCAGAACUGAAUUUAAAAUUUCUAAAACCAAUGCAUGGAGAAGCAGUUUUAGAUCAGCUGCUGGUUCAAGUUGAUUGGACACUUGUCCAUGAAAUUUAGAACAAAAUAACUAAUUGAUAAUAAAAUUCUAUUUAUAUGAAUAUGAUAUUUAGACCCUACAUAACUUUAAUUAUAAGAGUGUAGUUAUUUUUUUAUUAAAAUAUUUUAAUUAUGCAGAAUUAUCUGAAACAGAUAUCAAGCAGGUCUUCCUAGCAUAGAAAAUAACACAUAACUAUAUUGCAACAAAACAUUAUGUUAAAAUAAAACACAGCAUUGCAGAAAAACUAUUGCUAAGACAAAAGAAACUCGACAACUAUGACAACCACCAAUGCACACUCUUGGUAACACAGAAAGAUUAGUUUAAAAACAUAGACUCAGUAAGUUUUAUCAUAUGUGAAAAUUAAGAUUACUUACAACUUGGCUUAUAUUAACUGUCUUUUUCAACGCAUACCUGAUAAUUGGUGUGCAAAACAGUUAUUACAUUUGAUACUUGAUUAUAAAUGAAGUGAAGAAGCCCAUCGCAACACAAACUAGGAGAGAAAAGAUGCUAGAUCUAAUACAAGACGACUUUAUAACAACAAUAAUCGAAGAAAAUUGAAAUAGACCUCACAGUCCAAAAAAGAAGCACGGAGUAUUACAAUGGAAGAGUAUACCCGAUUGAGCAGGCACAGUACAAAUGUCCCUAAACCAACCAAUUGCAAAAACCGAAUUCAACUCAA